rnacentral:sRNA from 1 species
CCCUAGCCCUGAUGGAAACGGCAUCCUUUCCUGCCUCGUCUUUUUGGACGAGACAGGAAAGAUAUAGUGUACAGCAGGAAAAAGC